rnacentral:lncRNA from 13 species
AGGAACUUCUUUUUCCUAGCCAGGAUAGGUGGGAAAGGAUAGCCCCAGGACAUAUCUUCUGACCUGGGCGGGGAACAAAACAAACUCAAGGAGAAGCUGCUUUUUUAUUGAUUUGAAAGGACAAGAGCACAGUCUUUGCUGAGAGUGAAAGGGGUGGUCGCACAUUCAAAGGGCAGUAGGGACCUGGUGGCAGGUCAGCCAUGUAUACUUGCUUGUGCUGAGCCUCGUCCUGACCUAAUCACAUUCAAGCCUCACAUGUUUAAGUCCUGCCUUCUCUUCCAUUCUGCUGCCAUUUGGAUUCCCUCAGAUAAGAAGAUGAGUAAUUUACCCAAGAUCCCACAUCUUGUUCUUGGAAUUUAACGCAGGUAACGUUACUCCGGAGGGCCAUUUUUAACCAUCAGAAUAGAGUACCUCCCUGGUUGUUUUUUAGAAACCUGAAACCCCACCAAAUGGAUCCACUGGCAUGUAGACCUCAGUCAGCGCUACAUGCCAUCAAGCCAAGGAGGAAUUUCCUUCUCACUGUUGCUUCUCUGACCAAGGAGGACAUAAGCACAACCAGUGGCCAGACUGAUGAAAUGCCUUCCAGUUUCAGAAAAGAUGAUCACCAAUCCCUAAAUUAUUAAAUUCAUACUAAUAAAGCACAAAAACUGAAUUCUAAUGUU